rnacentral:tRNA from 21 species
CCUCGUGGUGCGCGUGAUGGCCUUCAAAACCGAUAUUG